rnacentral:rRNA from 1 species
UACGUAGGGUGCAAGCGUUAAUCGGAAUUACUGGGCGUAAAGCGUGCGCAGGCGGUUGUGCAAGACCGAUGUGAAAUCCCCGGGCUUAACCUGGGAAUGGCAUUGGUGACUGCACGGCUAGAGUGUGUCAGAGGGGGGUAGAAUUCACGUGUAGCAGUGAAAUGCGUAGAGAUGUGGAGGAAUACCGAUGGCGAAGGCAGCCCCCUGGGAUAACACUGAC